rnacentral:rRNA from 1 species
AUUGAACGCUGGCGGCAGGCCUAACACAUGCAAGUCGAGCGGAUGAAGGGAGCUUGCUCCUGGAUUCAGCGGCGGACGGGUGAGUAAUGCCUAGGAAUCUGCCUGGUAGUGGGGGAUAACGUCCGGAAACGGGCGCUAAUACCGCAUACGUCCUGAGGGAGAAAGUGGGGGAUCUUCGGACCUCACGCUAUCAGAUGAGCCUAGGUCGGAUUAGCUAGUUGGUGGGGUAAAGGCCUACCAAGGCGACGAUCCGUAACUGGUCUGAGAGGAUGAUCAGUCACACUGGAACUGAGACACGGUCCAGACUCCUACGGGAGGCAGCAGUGGGGAAUAUUGGGCAAUGGGCGAAAGCCUGAUCCAGCCAUGCCGCGUGUGUGAAGAAGGUCUUCGGAUUGUAAAGCACUUUAAGUUGGGAGGAAGGGCAGUAAGUUAAUACCUUGCUGUUUUGACGUUACCUACAGAAUAAGCACCGGCUAACUUCGUG